rnacentral:rRNA from 1 species
GACGAACGCUGGCGGCAUGCCUAAUACAUGCAAGUCGAGCGAACAGAUGAAGUGCUUGCACUUCUGACGUUAGCGGCGAACGGGUGAGUAACACGUAAGGAAUCUACCUAUAAGCGGGGGAUAACAUUCGGAAACGGGUGCUAAUACCGCAUAAUAUCUUCUUCCGCAUGGAAGAAGAUUGAAAGACGGCUCUGCUGUCACUUAUAGAUGACCUUGCGGUGCAUUAGUUAGUUGGUGGGGUAAUGGCCUACCAAGACGAUGAUGCAUAGCCGACCUGAGAGGGUGAUCGGCCACAUUGGGACUGAGACACGGCACAAACUCCUACGGGAGGCAGCAGUAGGGAAUCUUCCGCAAUGGGCGAAAGCCUGACGGAGCAAUGCCGCGUGAGUGAAGAAGGCCUUCGGGUCGUAAAACUCUGUUAUAAGAGAAGAACAAAUUGUAGAGUAACUGCUACAGUCUUGACGGUACCUUGUCAGAAAGCCACGGCUAACUACGUGCCAGCCGCCGCAGUAA